rnacentral:sRNA from 1 species
CUUUAAAAAUCUGGAUCAAGCUGAAAAUUGAAACGACACACUGUUCCCUUUCUCCGUAAUAAGAAAGGAAAAGCGGUGUGUCCGAGUCUCUCAAAUUUUCGCAACACGAACCGUUUUACGAAACAGUUUCGG